rnacentral:misc_RNA from 1 species
AUGGUCGCUGCAGCAAAUGUUGCUGGAGAUAGGGUUACGGAAGUUGUUGCCGUUAUUGUGUCCUGCAGGACCAAAAAAAAACUUGCUAUAGGGAAGGAAAUAUAUAAGAUCUAUAUGUCUUCACAUAAAAUAUUAACAUAAAAACUGAACUAGUCAAUUACUUGAUUAUAUGAUAGGUAUAUAAAUCAUAAUAAAUGUUCCAUGGUUUAGUAAAG